rnacentral:rRNA from 1 species
CAAUAGCGUAUAUUAAAGUUGUUGCAGUUAAAAAGCUCGUAGUUGGAUUUCUGGUGAGAUGAAUUAUGUCUGGAUGGAGACGUCUCGUACAUGGUUUGUUUUGCCCUUCUUGUCAGGAACCCGUUGGGAUUCACUUCUCGACGGUGGAAUGGCAUCGUUUACUGUGAAAAAAUUAGAGUGUUCAAAGCAGGCAUCGCCGCUGAAUACAUUAGCAUGGAAUAAUAAGAUAAGACUUUGGUGGUCUAUUUUGUUGGUUUGCACGCCAAAGUAAUGAUUAAUAGGGAUAGUUGGGGGUAUUCGUAUUCUAUUGCUAGAGGUGAAAUUCUUAAAUUUAUGGAAGACGAACUACUGCGAAAGCAUUUACCAAGGAUGUUUUCAUUAA